GUGGGGAAUCUUCCGCAAUGGACGAAAGUCUGACGGAGCAACGCCGCGUGAGUGAAGAAGGUUUUCGGAUCAUAAAGCUCUUUCGUUAGGGACGAACGUGCUCUUUGUGAAUAAUGAGGAGUAAUGACGGUACCUAAAUAAGAAGCCACGGCUAACUACGUGCCAGCAGCCGCGGUAAUACGUAGGUGGCAAGCGUUGUCCGGAAUUAUUGGGCGUAAAGCGCGCGCAGGCGGGAUAUCAAGUCUGUCUUAAAAGUGCGAGGCUCAACCUCGUGAGGGGACAGAAACUGGUAUUCUUGAGUGUCGGAGAGGAAAGUGGAAUUCCAAGUGUAGCGGUGAAAUGCGUAGAGAUUUGGAAGAACACCAGUGGCGAAGGCGACUUUCUGGACGAUGUCUGACGCUGAGGCGCGAAAGCUAGGGGAGCGAACGGGAUUAGAUACCCUUGUAGUCC
rnacentral:rRNA from 1 species